rnacentral:rRNA from 1 species
AUUGAACGCUGGCGGCAGGCUUUACACAUGCAAGUCGAACGAGUGGCGGACGGGGGAGUAAUGUAUGGGAAACUGCCCGGGGGAGGGGGAUAACUACUGGAAAGGGUGGCUAAUACCGCAUACCAUCAGAGGUGCCCAGAUGGGAUGAGCUUGGUGGUGGGGUAACGGCUCACCAAGGCGACGAUCCCUAGCUGGUAUGAGAGGAUGACCAGCCACACUGGAACUGAGACACGGGCCAGACUCAUACGGGGUGCAGCAGUUGGGAAUAUUGGACAAUGGGGGCAAUCCGGAUGCAGCCAUGCCGCGUGUAUGAAGAAGGCCUGCGGUUUGUAAAGUACUUUUAGCGGGGAAGCGGUAUCCGCAGAAGAAGCACCGGCUAACUCCGUGCCAGCAGCCGCGGUAAUUC